GAGGCUAGAUGAGCUCAGAGAGUCACAGAUGAAAGAGAAUUCCCUCCAAUAGAGGCAGAGGCACAUUCACUACCUGAAGUCUGACACUGAGAAACCAAACAGCCCUCAGAAGACCUAGAAAGUACAAAAGGACCAGGAUGUGAGCAGAAAGGAAGCGAGUGGAAGAGUAGGAGGCAGGGCUGUUACUAAAGGAACACGUGCCCGGGCAUUAACUGGAAGAUGCCCACAUGUGUCAUCACCACAUUAAACAGAGUCAACGUGUUUCUCAAGCACAAAUCUCCCACAAGUGCUUAAAAUAUCAUCAUUGCUAAACAGAGUAUGACCUCCUGGUCAUGUGAUCUUGAGCCAGCCACACUAUCAUUUUCUAAGAUCUAGCUGUGGAUCUACUGAGGCUUUGUAUUAUUAAGUUUGUGCUUCACCCUACCCCCAUUCUCCAUAGCUUACGAAUUAGUAGAAUUCCAAAAGGCCAGGGCUGGGAAAAAAAGGAGGUUUGAAAUUUUUUAGUGAGGCUGCUCUCUUUACCUCCCACCCGAGGAAACUGAGACCCAGGACUCGCCCUGCCUGGAAUCACACAGCUCAGCGCUGGCAGAGCCAGGUGGGCACUGCAUCUCUGAUUUCCUUGUCUAGAAAUGCUCCGCCAUGAUAAAAACAACAGCUUCUGUGCUUUGGCACCUCCUCGGAUGCAGACAUCAGACUUGGUGUUUAUCCAAAGGAGCAUCUCAUUUAUUCUGCAAAACAAUGUUCCAUUCAAAGAUGAGAAAUUGAAGCUCUCAGAGGUAACCAGCUACCAGGGCCACAGAGCUCAGGGCCAAGCAAGCAGAACCCUGGUGGUAUCUGUUUUGCUGAUCGCUAUUUCCAAGGGCCCUCCUCCUUCUACUCCACAGCUUCGAGGAAAGCUUCCUAAAGGAGAGGAUGGUUUCAUCAUAUUCUGUGUAACUGACACCAGAAAGAAUCCUAUCUCAUACAGCUGAGUUUAGUCCCAUUAUUGCCUGGCAUACGAGCCUCCUUCACUAUGGGAAAAUGUAAGUAAAUUUAGAUAUAUAAGCAGAAUGACCAAAUAGAUAGAUGAUAGCUAGGUAGCUGGAUAGACUGAUGGAUAUAGAACAGAUAAAAUUUAGUGUUUGUCCAUGCAUGGAGAAUAGGAUCAGAAAGAUACAUACCCAACUCUUCACAAUUAAUACUCUGGGAUGAGAAGGUGUUUCACUUUAUUAUGAUCAGCUUUUCCUGGAAUGUUUGCAUUUAAAGAUAAGCAUAUGUGACC
rnacentral:lncRNA from 1 species